AUGUGGUUAAGUUACUAAGGGCACACGGUGGAUGCCUUGGCGCUAGGAGCCGAAGAAGGACGCAGCGAACUGCGAUAAGCCUCGGGGAGCGGUAAGCACGCUUUGAUCCGGGGAUCUCCGAAUGGGGCAACCCACCAUCUGUAAUGGGAUGGUAUCCUUCACUGAAUACAUAGGUGAUGAGAAGGCAGACCCGGUGAACUGAAACAUCUAAGUAGCCGGAGGAAGAGAAAACAAUAGUGAUUCCGUCAGUAGUGGCGAGCGAACGCGGAAGAGCCUAAACCGUCGGGUUUACCCGGCGGGGUUGUGGGGCGUCUCACAUGGAGUUACAAAAGACGCGCGUAGGUGAACAGCUUGGGAAAGCUGACCAUAGAGCGUGAUAGUCGCGUAACCUAAACGCGCGUCUCUCCGAGACCAACCCCGAGUAGCGCGGGACACGUGAAAUCCCGUGUGAAUCUGGCAGGACCAUCUGCUAAGGCUAAAUACUACCUAGCGACCGAUAGUGAACCAGUACCGUGA
rnacentral:rRNA from 1 species